AAAUAACUCUACACCACCAAUCUCUGUCUUUCACGAAUUGCACACCGAUUCAAACUUCCCUUCGGGUAUUUCUUUUUUUUUUUUUUUUUUUUUUUUGCACUGUGUUU